GUCAUUCUGGCCGAGUGGUCUAAAACGCUGCGUUCAGGUCGCAGUCCACUUCUGUGGGCGCAGGUUCGAAUCCUGCGGAUGACA
rnacentral:tRNA from 1 species